GAUGAACGCUGGCGGCGUGCUUAACACAUGCAAGUCGAACGGUGAAGGCGGAGCUUGCUCUGCUGGAUCAGUGGCGAACGGGUGAGUAACACGUGAGCAAUCUGCCCCUGACUCUGGGAUAAGCGCUGGAAACGGCGUCUAAUACUGGAUACGAGCUGCGAAGGCAUCUUCAGCAGCUGGAAAGAAUUUCGGUCAGGGAUGAGCUCGCGGCCUAUCAGCUUGUUGGUGAGGUAAUGGCUCACCAAGGCGUCGACGGGUAGCCGGCCUGAGAGGGUGACCGGCCACACUGGGACUGAGACACGGCCCAGACUCCUACGGGAGGCAGCAGUGGGGAAUAUUGCACAAUGGGCGAAAGCCUGAUGCAGCAACGCCGCGUGAGGGACGACGGCCCUCGGGCUGUAAACCUCUUUUAGCAGGGAAGAAGCGAAAGUGACGGUACCUGCAGAAAAAGCGCCGGCUAACUACGUG
rnacentral:rRNA from 1 species